rnacentral:rRNA from 1 species
GACGAACGCUGGCGGCGGGCUUAACACAUGCAAGUCGAACGGAAAGGCCCUGCUUUGGUGGGGUGCUCGAGUGGCGAACGGGUGAGUAACACGUGAGUAACCUGCCCUUGACUUUGGGAUAACUUCAGGAAACUUGGGCUAAUACCGGAUAGGAGCUCCUGCUUCAUGGUGGGGGUGGGAAAGUUUCGGCGGUUGGGUAUGGACUCGCGGCUUAUCAGCUUGUUGGUGGGGUAGUGGAUUACCAAGGCUUUGACGGGUAGCCGGCCUGAGAGGGUGACCGGCCACAUUGGGACUGAGAUACGGCCCAGACUCCUACGGGAGGCAGCAGUGGGGAAUAUUGCACAAUGGGCGGAAGCAUGAUGCAGCAACGCCGCGUGCGGGAUGACGGCAUUCGGGUUGUAAACCGCUUUCGCCUGUGACGAAGCGUGAGUGACGGUAAUGGGUAAAGAAGCACCGGCUAACUACGUG